GUAAUUAUUAAUAAGAAGUAGUACACCCGUGAAACAAGAAGAAGAAGAAGAAGAAGAAGAAGAAAGAACACUUUGGUGACUAUGGCGGAACCUGUAGCUCUAUCUUUUGUAACCUUCGUGGUGAAAAAGUUGGGGGAGUUGCUCCUCCAGGAAGCGCUAAACUUGCGUGGGGUGAGGCCUCAAGUUGAGCAAUUCCAAGCCCAGCUAAAUAGGAUGCAAUGCUUCUUAGAAGCUGCAGAUGCAAGACCAAAAGGAGAAGCAGAUGAGAUUGUAAUCCGCAACUGCGUUGCUGAGAUCAGAGAAGCAUCCUAUGAUGCUGAAGCUGCAAUUGCUACUUUUGUUGUCAAAAUUGGAUUUCAUACUAGUGGGAGAUCAGAUCAGUUCCCUUUCGUUCUCAAGAGGUAUUUGUGUAUCUUCAAGGAAUAUUCAGCCCUUCGUGAGGUUAGGUUGGAGAUUGAGGCUAUUAAUACCAGGAUCACCAAUAGCCUCACAACAGGUUUUCUAACUUGUGGAAUACUAAAUUCUACAGGAGUAGGAGAAAGUUCAUCAUCUACUUCUAUGGCCGAGAGGCAGCAACAAUUAAGGCGAUCCUAUACCCAUAUUGUUGAGGAGGAUGUUGUCGGCACAGAAGAAGAUGUAAAAGCUAUAGUGGAUCUUUUGGUGAAGGAGAAUAUGCAUUAUAGAGUUGUUUCCAUUUGGGGGAUGGGUGGUCUUGGCAAGACCACCCUUGCUAAGAAAGUUUACAAACACAUUGAAAUUAAGCGUCAUUUUAAAUGUGUUGCCUGGGCCUAUAUAUCUCAACAAUGCAAUACAAGGGAAGUUCUUGAAGGGAUUCUUAUCAAACUUCUCUCUCCAUCAAAUGAAGAAAGGGAAGCAAUUAGAAAGAUGAAACAUGAUGAGCUAGUCAAGGAACUUCAUCAAGUCCAAAGUGAGAAGAAAUGUUUGGUGAUUCUCGAUGACAUUUGGAAGGAUGCAGAUUGGGAUAGUUUGAGUCCAGGCUUCCCAAAUACUACAGGGGUAGGCAGCAAAAUAUUGCUAACAACUCGCAAUGAAAAUGUUGCUAAGCAUGUAGAUCAACAAUGCGUGCUUUAUAAAUUGAGGCACUUAACAGAAAAUGAGAGUUGGGAGCUAUUUGAAAAGAAAACAUUUCUGAGAAGAAAAGAAGGUACCGGACUCACAUCAAACAGAAAAAUAAUUGAGUUAGGGAAGGCAAUGGUCAAGCAUUGUGGUGGUGUUCCAUUGGCGAUUGUGGUAUUAGGAGGACUUUUGGCAACAAAAUACACAUUGGAGGACUGGAAGGAGGUGAGUAAAAACCUUAGUUAUGACUUAGGUAAGGGCAAAGGCCAAGCAAGAGUCUCAAUAACAGAAAUUUUAGCCUUAAGCUACCAAGACUUGCCUUGCCAUCUUAAGGCAUGUUUUUUGUAUUUGAGCCAUUUUCCUGAAGAUCAUGAUAUUCAUGCGAAAAAACUUAUUCAAAUGUGGAUGGCUGAAGGCAUUGUGUCGCCACGAGUAGGAGAACUAGAAGAGAAAACAAUGUUGGAUGUUGGAAUGUGUUACAUGGGUGAGUUAGUCCAAAGAUGCAUGGUUCAAGUCCAAUUAACAAGCUUCAGAAAAAGAAUUAAACUUUGUCGCCUCCAUGAUCUCAUGAGAGACUUGUGCUUGCUAAAGGCCAAAGAGGAGAAUUUUCUCAAGAUUGUUCGGAUUAAAGCCUUUGGUCAUCAGCUCGGGUGGGCAGACUCUACGUUGCCUUCUUCAUCAUCACCAUUAACAAGAAUCCGCAGGCUUGCCGUAUACUAUUUGGAUGACUAUGAUAUCAACUCUAUAAAAAGUGAAAAUGUAAUUCUCUUAUCUAGACAUGAAAUGAAGAAUCACAACCAUAUCCGAUCAUUUCAAUUUUACUCUUUGGGCAAAGAUUUGGGAUGUUCUGAUUGGCAAAAAUUAAAAUUACUCUUCACGGGCCUCACAUUGAUUACAGUUUUAGACCUUGAAAGAAUUACUAUAUAUCCGGUAGACAAAAUGUUUCCGAGAGCAAUAGGAAACCUAAUUCACCUGAGGUAUUUAAGUAUAAGAGGUUCUAACAUUAAAAGUUUGCCUUCGUCUAUAGGCAACUUAGGAUUCCUCCAAACCCUAGAUUUAAGGGGACGGGGGAGUUUAAGAAUACCCAAUGUCUUGUGGAGGUUGAAACAAUUGAGACAUCUAUAUCUUUCUGAUAGAAUCAAGCUAUCUUGCAUAGGUAAGUUGCGAUUGGAAGGUUUAAGCAAAUUGGAGACGCUAGAAAACUUUGAUGCAAGGAAGUGUGAUGUCAGAUGCUUAUCUAAACUGACAAAUCUUCGAAAAUUCAGUGGUGAGGUAGCCCCCAAAGACUUGGUCGUAAUGUUGAAAUCCCCAAUCCUCAACAAUUCAAACCGCCGUCUGCAAUAUUCAUCCUACGAUAUUACAGGAGAUUUCCGAACAGAAGAAGAACAAAGCCUUUUAAGGCAACUUUUAGGAUGCCACCAUCUUCGUCAAUUGUCUUUAUCAGGGUCGGUUAAGACAUUGCCAGGCCAAUUCCCUCCAAAUCUCACCCAGUUAAUCUUGUUGUAUACUGAACUAGAGGAAGACCCAAUGCCAACAUUGGAGAAGUUCCCCAACUUAAGAACUCUCUUCUUAGGUGAAAAUUCCUACAUGGGGAAGGAGAUGGUUUGUUCUUCUGCACCACCACCAACAACAACAGCACCAUCCAGCAGCAGUGGUGGAGGAGGGGGCUAUGGCGGCUGUGAUGGUGGAGGUUUUCUGAAACUCAUAUCUUUGGAGCUCUGGAAUAUUGAAAACUUGGAGGAGUGGAGGGUGGAACAAGGAGCCAUGCCUUGUCUCUUCCAUUUAGAGAUUGGUGGAUGCCCAAAAUUGAAGGAGAUUCCGGACGGAUUGAGGUUCAUUACCGCCCUCCGUGAAUUGGAUAUUAAAUACGCAUCUAAAGCCCUCCAACAGAGGUUUAGAGAAGGAGGAGAAGACUUCGACAAAGUCAAGCAUGUGCCUUCCAUCAUAAUUUAAGUAUUGACGACUGAUCUUUCUCGGACCUUCCUACAUUUACAUCAGCAGAUGGAGGGCAAUAAGAUAUCCAGGUGGUGGCAGCUCCAUUGUUUUUGGAUGUUUGUUAUCUUGCACAAUCUUUCCAUUCGUGCCAAUUAUAUCUCUACAGCCACGGAGUUUGCUCACAGCAGCGUUUUCCUUAGCCUGGUUUGCAGCAUUUUCUUGCAUCUCUUCUUCUCAUGGAGAGGCCUACUUGACAGCCUCUAGUCAAUCUACUGUUUGCUUCGUGCCUGGUCUCAAUUAAGUUGAAAUAAAUGGAGCUCAAGUGCAGAGAGCUUGAUGUACAAUAUUCAGCCUAUUCGCUAAUAACUUAAGCUUUUGGGCAACUAAUUAUCUAAUAUGUAGCUGAAAAAUCUGAUUUUUGAGGUGCAAGCCCAUAUUGCUCGGGUCAGGUGACACUUGCAGUUGAGUGUAAUAGAUGGACAGCAUCAACGACUGAAAACUUCCUCUGACCUGUGAGUGUACACCAUUUCUCCCAUAAACCAUAAAAUUUUACAUCUUGCACUGAUUUCAUGGCAAACUUGAGCGUGCGUUCUGAGUCUGUAAUAUAGUAUACUCAUUUAUUUACAAUUCUGUACUUCUUUCUUAUAUAUCUUCCUCUCUUUUAUGUAAUCCUUCUCAACGACUGUUGAUUUGUACCAAUGCAGAGGAGAAAGGAAUGAAAAAUUGUUUGUUGCAGUAA